UUAAGCGACUAAGCGUACACGGUGGAUGCCCUGGCAGUCAGAGGCGAUGAAGGACGUGCUAAUCUGCGAUAAGCGUCGGUAAGGUGAUAUGAACCGUUAUAACCGGCGAUUUCCGAAUGGGGAAACCCAGUGUGAUUCGUCACACUAUCAUUAACUGAAUCCAUAGGUUAAUGAGGCGAACCGGGGGAACUGAAACAUCUAAGUACCCCGAGGAAAAGAAAUCAACCGAGAUUCCCCCAGUAGCGGCGAGCGAACGGGGAGGAGCCCAGAGCCUGAAUCAGUGUGUGUGUUAGUGGAAGCGUCUGGAAAGGCGCGCGAUACAGGGUGACAGCCCCGUACACAAAAAUGCACAUGCUGUGAGCUCGAUGAGUAGGGCGGGACACGUGGUAUCCUGUCUGAAUAUGGGGGGACCAUCCUCCAAGGCUAAAUACUCCUGACUGACCGAUAGUGAACCAGUACCGUGAGGGAAAGGCGAAAAGAACCCCGGCGAGGGGAGUGAAAAAGAACCUGAAACCGUGUACGUACAAGCAGUGGGAGCACGCUUCGGCGUGUGACUGCGUACCUUUUGUAUAAUGGGUCAGCGACUUAUAUUCUGUAGCAAGGUUAACCGAAUAGGGGAGCCGAAGGGAAACCGAGUCUUAACUGGGCGUUAAGUUGCAGGGUAUAGACCCGAAACCCGGUGAUCUAGCCAUGGGCAGGUUGAAGGUUGGGUAACACUAACUGGAGGACCGAACCGACUAAUGUUGAAAAAUUAGCGGAUGACUUGUGGCUGGGGGUGAAAGGCCAAUCAAACCGGGAGAUAGCUGGUUCUCCCCGAAAGCUAUUUAGGUAGCGCCUCGUGAAUUCAUCUCCGGGGGUAGAGCACUGUUUCGGCAAGGGGGUCAUCCCGACUUACCAACCCGAUGCAAACUGCGAAUACCGGAGAAUGUUAUCACGGGAGACACACGGCGGGUGCUAACGUCCGUCGUGAAGAGGGAAACAACCCAGACCGCCAGCUAAGGUCCCAAAGUCAUGGUUAAGUGGGAAACGAUGUGGGAAGGCCCAGACAGCCAGGAUGUUGGCUUAGAAGCAGCCAUCAUUUAAAGAAAGCGUAAUAGCUCACUGGUCGAGUCGGCCUGCGCGGAAGAUGUAACGGGGCUAAACCAUGCACCGAAGCUGCGGCAGCGACACUAUGUGUUGUUGGGUAGGGGAGCGUUCUGUAAGCCUGCGAAGGUGUACUGUGAGGUAUGCUGGAGGUAUCAGAAGUGCGAAUGCUGACAUAAGUAACGAUAAAGCGGGUGAAAAGCCCGCUCGCCGGAAGACCAAGGGUUCCUGUCCAACGUUAAUCGGGGCAGGGUGAGUCGACCCCUAAGGCGAGGCCGAAAGGCGUAGUCGAUGGGAAACAGGUUAAUAUUCCUGUACUUGGUGUUACUGCGAAGGGGGGACGGAGAAGGCUAUGUUGGCCGGGCGACGGUUGUCCCGGUUUAAGCGUGUAGGCUGGUUUUCCAGGCAAAUCCGGAAAAUCAAGGCUGAGGCGUGAUGACGAGGCACUACGGUGCUGAAGCAACAAAUGCCCUGCUUCCAGGAAAAGCCUCUAAGCAUCAGGUAACAUCAAAUCGUACCCCAAACCGACACAGGUGGUCAGGUAGAGAAUACCAAGGCGCUUGAGAGAACUCGGGUGAAGGAACUAGGCAAAAUGGUGCCGUAACUUCGGGAGAAGGCACGCUGAUAUGUAGGUGAAGCGACUUGCUCGUGGAGCUGAAAUCAGUCGAAGAUACCAGCUGGCUGCAACUGUUUAUUAAAAACACAGCACUGUGCAAACACGAAAGUGGACGUAUACGGUGUGACGCCUGCCCGGUGCCGGAAGGUUAAUUGAUGGGGUUAGCGGUAACGCGAAGCUCUUGAUCGAAGCCCCGGUAAACGGCGGCCGUAACUAUAACGGUCCUAAGGUAGCGAAAUUCCUUGUCGGGUAAGUUCCGACCUGCACGAAUGGCGUAAUGAUGGCCAGGCUGUCUCCACCCGAGACUCAGUGAAAUUGAACUCGCUGUGAAGAUGCAGUGUACCCGCGGCAAGACGGAAAGACCCCGUGAACCUUUACUAUAGCUUGACACUGAACAUUGAGCCUUGAUGUGUAGGAUAGGUGGGAGGCUUUGAAGUGUGGACGCCAGUCUGCAUGGAGCCGGCCUUGAAAUACCACCCUUUAAUGUUUGAUGUUCUAACGUUGGCCCCUAAUCGGGGUUGCGGACAGUGUCUGGUGGGUAGUUUGACUGGGGCGGUCUCCUCCUAAAGAGUAACGGAGGAGCACGAAGGUUGGCUAAUCCUGGUCGGACAUCAGGAGGUUAGUGCAAUGGCAUAAGCCAGCUUGACUGCGAGCGUGACGGCGCGAGCAGGUGCGAAAGCAGGUCAUAGUGAUCCGGUGGUUCUGAAUGGAAGGGCCAUCGCUCAACGGAUAAAAGGUACUCCGGGGAUAACAGGCUGAUACCGCCCAAGAGUUCAUAUCGACGGCGGUGUUUGGCACCUCGAUGUCGGCUCAUCACAUCCUGGGGCUGAAGUAGGUCCCAAGGGUAUGGCUGUUCGCCAUUUAAAGUGGUACGCGAGCUGGGUUUAGAACGUCGUGAGACAGUUCGGUCCCUAUCUGCCGUGGGCGCUGGAGAACUGAGGGGGGCUGCUCCUAGUACGAGAGGACCGGAGUGGACGCAUCACUGGUGUUCGGGUUGUCAUGCCAAUGGCACUGCCCGGUAGCUAAAUGCGGAAGAGAUAAGUGCUGAAAGCAUCUAAGCACGAAACUUGCCCCGAGAUGAGUUCUCCCUGACUCCUUGAGAGUCCUGAAGGAACGUUGAAGACGACGACGUUGAUAGGCCGGGUGUGUAAGCGCAGCGAUGCGUUGAGCUAACCGGUACUAAUGAACCGUGAGGCUUAACCUU
rnacentral:rRNA from 2 species